AAGGUUUUAAGUUAAAUAAACUAAUAAUCUUCAAAAUUACAAAAAAAGAAAUUCUUUAAGCCUUA
rnacentral:tRNA from 2 species